AGAAAAAAAAAGAAAAAAAAAAGGAAAAGUUGGAAAUUUCGGGAUUUCGUCGGAUUCGUCGUCAAUCUUUCGAAUGCGAUUUCUCGGUAAUUUCUGGAUAUUUGUGAUUUGAUUAAAUCAAAUCAAUCAAUUCCUGUCGUAUUAUUUCAUGUGAUCAAUAGUCUGUUUCGUUUCGAUAAUCAUUAUUGAUUCGAAGAUACGAUAUCCAAGUCGAAGUAUUUAUUUCGAUCAUCAGAGCGAAGUCUAAUUAGUGAGAUUUUAGUUCGACUCUGAAUUGAAAAUAGUGUAUCGUUUCAUGUGAUACAAUUGUCUGUUCAGUUUUUCGGAAUGUAGACGUAUACGUGACGUUUUCAGACGUAGAAUUGACGCUUCAUAUUUUAUGUGUUUUAAAUGUGUUUUAGUUCUAAUAGUAUGCCUGUACAGGUGGUACUAUUUCCGGACGUUCUUGAUCGAAUUUUCUUCAUCGUCGGUAAAGGCAAGUGAAUGUAUUAUAUGACUGCUUUAACCUAAUAUUGGGUUGCCUACAUUCUUUAAUUACAGUGCAUUCAUCUAAUCUGAAUGACUGAUUCUGAGCUGGGUACUAUGUUGUUUACGUUUCCAGAAGUUUACUCGAUGAUUGAUUUAUGAAGUGCAGUAUGUUUAGAUGUUGACGUGCGUUUUGGGAUGGAUCUUGGUAGCUGCACACACUAUCUCAUCACCAUGUUGAUAGCUCAACCGGUGUUAUAAAUGGUGGUUUUGGUGGUCUGUCGUUUGCUUGGUUUAUGUCGUGGUACGACGCUGGUAGCGUCGUGAAGGUUUCUAUAUAUAUAUGCCGGUUAUGUCAUAUACUGUCUGCCUGUGAUCUCUUUUGGUCAGUUAUACCGUCCUAUAGAGGAAAUGCCGUCAAAAUUUUCUGUUUUCAUAUAA